CCUACGGGUGGCAGCAGUGGGGAAUAUUGGACAAUGGGCGAAAGCCUGAUCCAGCCAUGCCGCGUGUGUGAAGAAGGCCUUCGGGUUGUAAAGCACUUUCAGUGGGGAAGAAAGCCUUGGGGCUAAUACCCUCGAGGAAGGACAUCACCCACAGAAGAAGCACCGGCUAACUCCGUGCCAGCAGCCGCGGUAAUACGGAGGGUGCGAGCGUUAAUCGGAAUUACUGGGCGUAAAGCGCGCAUAGGCGGUCUGAUAAGCCGGUUGUGAAAGCCCCGGGCUCAACCUGGGAACGGCAUCCGGAACUGUCAGGCUAGAGUGCAGGAGAGGAAGGUAGAAUUCCCGGUGUAGCGGUGAAAUGCGUAGAGAUCGGGAGGAAUACCAGUGGCGAAGGCGGCCUUCUGGACUGACACUGACGCUGAGGUGCGAAAGCGUGGGUAGCAAACAGGAUUAGAUACCCGGGUAGUA
rnacentral:rRNA from 1 species